UCCGGUUUGACACCGGCAGUCCCUCCAGAGUGCCCUUGCGGUUGCAACUAGAGGUAAGGGUUUCGCUCGUUAUGGGACUUAACCCGACAUCUCACGACACGAGCUGACGACAGCCAUGCAGCACCUGUACUAGGCUCUCUCCCUUUCGGGCCAGUCGUUCCCGUUUCCGGGUUCUACUACCUAGCGCUUUCGCACAUGUCAAGUCCAGGAUAAGGUUCUUCGCGUAGCCUCGAAUUAAGCCACAUGCUCCACCGCUUGUGUGAGCCCCCGUCAAUUUCUUUGAGUUUCAGCCUUGCGACCAUACUCCCCAGGCGGGGUACUUAGCACUUUAGCUUCGGCAGUAAACGCAUAUCUCGUCUACUACCUAGUACCCAUCGUUUAGGGCUAGGACUAC
rnacentral:misc_RNA from 1 species